UGUUUGUCAGAGAGGUUUUCCUGCAUUCAAAAAGACUUUGAAGCUGGUUCAAGUCAAGAAUUUGUGUGUAUGCAUACAAUUAUGAUUGAUUUAGUUUCAGUUGAGAUCCUACUAGGUUUGGCAAUAAAUUAAACCCAUCUACUAUUCUUUUCAGGUAGUAUCUAGGGGACAGCUGGUGGCUGUAGGAAAACAAAAUUCAACAAUCUUCUCUUUAACACCAGAAAAUUCUUGGACUCCAAAAGCCUGUGUAAUCGUGUAUUAUAUUGAAGAUGAUGGGGAAAUUAUAAAUGAUGUUCUAAAAAUUCCUGUUCAGCUUGUUUUUAAAAAUAAGAUAAAGCUGUAUUGGAGUAAAGUGAAAGCUGAACCAUCUGAGAAAGUCUCGCUUAGGAUGUCUGUGACACAGCCUGACUCCAUAGCUGGGAUUGUAGCUGUUGACAAAACUGUGAAUCUGAUGUAUGCCUCUAAUGAUCUGACAAUGGAAAAUGUGAGCUUAGCUAUUUUUUCGUUAUGAAAAUUCGUAUUACAAGAGAAAAAAGAAACUUUAUUGUAUUACUUUAAAUAGUUAAAGAAAAUUUCAUUAGUUCCUUUGCAUGUGUAAGUCAAUAAUUAGCAAAGUUUCCAAAUAAAAAAUAAUCUGUGUGGUAAUGGUUGGUUAUGUUGGAAAGAAGCUUCUGUGGUUAGUGUCCUUCCUGUCUUUCAUGAGAGUCAUCACCUAAAGUUAGAUGGGAGGAAUAAGUUCUGGAGACCUGUGGUACAACAUGGUGACUAUAGUUAAUGAUAAUGUACCAUAUACUUGAAAAUUGCUAAGAGAAUAGAUUUUAAAUGUUCUCACCACAAAAAAUGAUCAAUAUGUGGUAUGUAAGGUAAUAGAUAUGUUAAUUAGAUUAAUCAUUCCACAGUAUAUACAAAUAUCAAUAUAUCACACUGUACUCCAUAAAUAUAUACAAUAAAAAAUGCCACUUAUA